AUUGAUUGGAACUUGACAUGAAGUUCAAAGUAUGUAUAUGAGCCAAAAUUGUUAUUAGACAUUUGCGAUUUUGACGUCUAAAUAAAUAAUUUGCAUUUUCAAAAUGGCGACUGAAAGUUUAUAAACUAAUAAAGGCUUUAUAAAGUUUAUAAGGACUGUCACUGUUGUCAGUAUUAUGUGAACCAAGAGUCAGAUACUUUAUCUUUGGCGUUUUUAAAUUUCCGAGUAUUAUACAUAUAGUACCACCUGGGUAGGUGUAAAGUUGUAAACUGUAUUUCACAGUUGAUACUGAAAUUUUGUGUAGAAAUGGAUUGGAAAUGAAAAAAGGAAGAGAAAGCUAGGUGAAAGUAGGACAGAAGAAAACAAGCAUGAAGAUUCAGAUGACAAUGUACUAAGAAUAGGUCCUCCACUUAAAAGAGUAGCAUCUGGCUACAACAUAUUUUCAUCAAGCAUGCUAAGUUCAGACUUGUGCAAGGCUAUUGAUUCAAAAUCGGAGAAAAUGAGAUUUGUUUCGUCACAAUGGCAAGCUCUUAGUGCUGAAGAAAAGAAUGAUUGGAAGAGCAAAGCCAAGCAGGUUGACAGAAUACGUCCACUAG